CUCUAAUAUUAUUUCAGAUUAUAUGUUUUACGGAACAUAUACAGUAAAAUAUUAGAUAUUAAAGAAGUUUAUCCCUUCCUAAUUAAGGUAAACAUAUAUAUAUAAUGCUUGUAUGAGUAGCAAAAUACCAAAAUAU
rnacentral:ncRNA from 1 species